rnacentral:rRNA from 1 species
GCUGGCGGCGUGCCUAAUACAUGCAAGUCGAGCGAUGAUGCUCCUUCGGGAGUACAUCAGCGGCGAACGGGUGAGUAACACGUAUGUGACUUGCCCCGAAGAUGGGGAUAACCUCUGGAAACGGGGGCUAAUACCCAAUGUGCUCGGUGAUUCGGUUGAUCGAGUAAAGCUCCGGCGCUUCGGGAGAGGCCUGCGGCCCAUCAGCUAGUUGGUAGGGUAACGGCCUACCAAGGCAGAGACGGGUAGGGGGCGUGAGAGCGCGGACCCCCACACUGGCACUGCGACACGGGCCAGACUCCUACGGGAGGCAGCAGUAAGGAAUAUUGCGCAAUGGACGAAAGUCAGACGCAGCGACGCCGCGUGGGCGAUGAAGGCCUUCGGGUUGUAAAGCCCUUUUAUGGGGGAAGAGAAAAAGGACGGUACCCCAUGAAUAAGUCCCGGCUAACUACGUGCCAGCAGCCGCGGUAAAACGUAUGGGACAAGCGUUAUCCGGAUUCACUGGGCGUAAAGAGCGUUGAGGCGGUUCCGUAAGUUGGGCGUGAAAGCUCCGGGCUUAACCCGGAGAUGUCGUUCAAUACUGCGGGGCUUGAGGACAGCAGAGGAAGGUGGAAUUCCCGGUGUAGUGGUGAAAUGCGUAGAUAUCGGGAGGAACACCCGUGGCGAAGGCGGCCUUCUGGGCUGUUCCUGACGCUGAAGGCGACAGCUAGGGGAGCGAACGGGAUUAGAUACCCCGGUAGUCCUUAGCCUGUAAACCGAUGGAUGCUGGGUCUGGCGGG